rnacentral:sRNA from 1 species
CUCUCUCUCUCUCUGCAUAGAUAACACAUGUUUGUGUGUGUGUUUUCGCACUUGAUACCUGCUAAUGCUUGCUUGAGCGUUAACUAGCUUUGAACAGGGAUUACUACAGUUUGUGGGUUUCUUGCUCCAUGUGCUGUGCGCCGAGCACUUGAGUGAAACUCUUUGAGUAACAUUAUAAGGAAAACUGCUCGGAUUAAUAUCGUCCAUGUCGCAAAUAUCAAUUGACAUGUAAAACAAUUGCCCUGAAAUUUCUUACUGCUCUGUCGACUUUGGCGAUUUUGAAGACUCACGGACCCCAAAAGCUAAAUCUGCCAAGGACAAUAAUUUUGAGACCUGAAUGAGCUUGGAUAUAUGCUCAUGCCAUGGAUAUAUGUUACCUUUAACAAAAUCGUAUUUUAAUUUUGUUGCUGUCAAUCUGCGUCGAUUCUUAAAUCAACAUUUUGUAGAAUUCUGCCGAUCUUAAAGACUAAUCCUGCCAACCUUCAUGGACAAUAUAUAAUCAAGAAGUAUUUAUUUCGUUCUUGGAUCGGCGAUUAUAACACAGUGGAUUAUAAACACAGUAUUUCCCGCGCGGAAACUCAGCCAACUCUGCCACGCCCAUGGACAAGAUUUUAUCAGCAAAUGAUCGCUAUUCAUGGUAGCUAGUUGACCGAUAUAUCCUUGGUUAUUCCAUAUCAUAGAUAUAGUCCUAGCGAACCUAAAGGACAAAGUUCUUGCAAAAUAUGUAUGCUUUUCUUUUACAGCCGCCCCCAGCAAGAUGCCUGGAUGGUUUCUAGUUGACUAGCAUAUCCUUGGUUAUACCAUACCAUCGAUAUAGUCCUUGGGAACCUAAAGGAUCAGAUCCCUGCAAAAUGUGCAUGGGAAUGGUCCAAAAAUAUGUAUGCUUUUUCUUUCAGGAGCCCUUUUACAUGAGCUGCAGCUGCAGCUGUUGCUUAAUAGCCGGCUUACAGUGCUCAUUUAACAUGAACUGCUAGUUAAAAGCACUCAUUUUAA